rnacentral:rRNA from 1 species
CAGUAGCCACGGGAAUACGGAGGGGGCUAGCGUUGUUCGGAAUUACUGGGCGUAAAGCGCACGUAGGCGGCUUUGUAAGUUAGAGGUGAAAGCCCGGAGCUCAACUCCGGAAUUGCCUUUAAGACUGCAGAGCUAGCAGGUGAGAGAGGUGUGUGGAAUUCCGAGUGUAGAGGUGAAAUUCGUAGAUAUUCGGAAGAACACCAGUGGCGAAGGCGGCUCACUGGCUCAUACUGGACGCUGAGGUGCGAAAGCGUGGGGAGCAAACAGGAUUAGAUACCCGCGUAGUCCCUGUCUCUUAUAC